CUUCAUCAGGUUUCACUCGCUUUCCGCUGCUCUCUCCAGCUCGUCCUUCUCUAAAGAGUCCAUGCUUGAACUUGGGGGUGGGGUGGCGGGCAGAGUGCGGCGCAAGCAUUAGCUUCUCACUGAAAGGGCAGCUGUCCACUGAGUUCACACAGUAACUUGAGUAGGUGUGUUACUUAAUACGCCACGAGAAAAUGCCCACCCCGAGAGUCUAAAAUUGUUCAUUUAAUGGGCCUCCUGCUGCUGCUCGGCCGCCUUCCAAGGGCACACUCAUCUGCUUCCCCUGCAAGCACGACCUUCUGCCAGAGACUCUGGGGGACUGUGGCUGUUGAUCUGCGGUGAGAGGUGACAGGUGGCCUCUCUGCAAUCGUGGGAUGUCAAAAUUGAUAUUAAAAUAUGCUUUCCAAGGGAUGACUGGAGACUAGGCAGAGAAAGAGAGGGUGUUUGGUACUCAGCCUCAUGUUUCGGUGCCUCCGGAGAAGGUGUGCUGGCUCCCAACCAGCUUUCCACACUCAGAGACCUAAAUCCUCUAAAGACUCAUUCUGGGAAGACCUUGGCACGAGGACACGGUGGCUAAGCCCGAGCUGGGCCCUCACAGAGGUUUGUUUAGCAGCGACCCCUCACCCAGCCGUACCUCCUCACCAGCAUUCAGGGGGUGGCUCCAUGAGGAACACAACUACGAUUUUUACAGAAGCUGUUGCCCUUUUUUUCUUUUCUCAAGAAUAACAAGGAACUAUUACAAAUAGCCUAAGACAUGACUUACGUCAGAAGGCAAUAGGCCUUCUUAUUUUUGACCCAAGGCAUAGCAAACUUCACUGAAUGACUAGGAGCUUUUUACAACUCAGCAAAUGGAUUUGUCACCAUCGUGGAACAGUGGAAGGCAGCUAAUUCCUCAGCCCAUCAGAAGUGCUGCUUUGUGAACUUGAAGAACCCGAACAACUUUUUGAUAAAAUCUAUCUCCUCCUAGAGAGAAUGGAUGGGUCAUUUUCAGAAACAUCGUUUUUUGGAGAAAAAAAGAGAUUCCGGUUCACCUGAGCAGAGAAAGGAAUUUAAUGGAAAGAUUUGGGGAAGCUCAAUGAAUUGAAGAAAAAUUUAAACCAAGACUCAGAACGGGCGUGAACCAGGUCAUCUUCAGGGACCGAAACAGCAGGGUUGAAUGAUGUGUACGGCAGGACACCAUCAAUAGACGGAUUUUAUUGUCCAACACUUUAAUACUUACUUGUAAACCUGAAAAGGGAGAGAGAUGUUCCCUAAACAUUACAGACCAAAUUAUGCUCAUCUGUCCUCUGCUUGACCCCUUCUGAGGAGCUGGAGCUGUGUAGACGUCAGUUAUGAGAGCAGGAACACAACCAGGCAAAUAGCAGGAUGACCUGGCGCACGGAGUAGGUGAGAGAUGAGUGGCCUGGAUCUAAAUGAUCAUCCAAUGGAGGAAAAGACACAACAUAAAGGUUUCCAUUUCUCCAGUCUUCAAAGAGAGAGACAAUUUAUUUUGGGGGGACUACUGUUGUCAGGAUUAAAUGCUAAUGCCUGAAAUCUUUUCAAGCAAAAUGUGCUGUGUCAGCUUCCAAGAAUACACUUGUUUUACAAGUUCAACUUCUUGUUUUUGAAGAAACACAACCUCUGCAGGAGAACCUUUCCAAAAAUUUUUCAUUUUUCCUGACGCCUCAUAAUACUUAAAAGAUUUUUCAACUGAUUAGAGAUUCCCAA
ensembl:lncRNA